rnacentral:rRNA from 1 species
UAGAGUUUGAUCAUGGCUCAGAUUGAACGCUGGCGGCAGGCCUAACACAUGCAAGUCGAGCGGAAACGACACUAACAAUCCCUCGGGUACGUUAAUGGGCGUCGAGCGGCGGACGGGUGAGUAAUGCCUAGGAAAUUGCCUUGAUGUGGGGGAUAACCAUUGGAAACGAUGGCUAAUACCGCAUAAUGCCUACGGGCCAAAGAGGGGGAUCUUCGGACCUCUCGCGUCAAGAUAUGCCUAGGUGGGAUUAGCUAGUUGGUGAGGUAAUGGCUCACCAAGGCGACGAUCCCUAGCUGGUCUGAGAGGAUGAUCAGCCACACUGGAACUGAGACACGGUCCAGACUCCUACGGGAGGCAGCAGUGGGGAAUAUUGCACAAUGGGCGAAAGCCUGAUGCAGCCAUGCCGCGUGUAUGAAGAAGGCCUUCGGGUUGUAAAGUACUUUCAGUUGUGAGGAAGGGGGUGUAGUUAAUAGCUGCAUCUCUUGACGUUAGCAACAGAAGAAGCACCGGCUAACUCCGUGCCAGCAGCCGCGGUAAUACGGAGGGUGCGAGCGUUAAUCGGAAUUACUGGGCGUAAAGCGCAUGCAGGUGGUUCAUUAAGUCAGAUGUGAAAGCCCGGGGCUCAACCUCGGAACUGCAUUUGAAACUGGUGAACUAGAGUGCUGUAGAGGGGGGUAGAAUUUCA